rnacentral:misc_RNA from 1 species
GAUGAAGAACGCAGCGAAAUGCGAUAAGUAGUGUGAAUUGCAGAAUUCAGUGAAUCAACGAAUCUUUGAACGCACAUUGCGCCCUUUGGUAUUCCAAAGGGCAUGCCUGUUCGAGCGUCAUUUGUACCCUCAAGCUUUGCUUGGUGUUGGGCGUCUUGUCUCUAGCUUUGCUGGAGACUCGCCUUAAAGUAAUUGGCAGCCGGCCUACUGGUUUCGGAGCGCAGCACAAGUCGCACUCUCUAUCAGCAAAGGUCUAGCAUCCAUUAAGCCUUUUUUUCAACUUUUGACCUCGGAUCAGGUAGGGAUACCCGCUGAACUUAAGCAUAUCAAUAAGCGGAGGA